UUCAUUUUGUAAACAUGGACGUGUAUAAUUAUUGAAUGGACAUGUACUAGAAAUUGUCUGAAUUUUUGGUCGUAUAAAGUUUUAAAAGUUCAAGUUGACACGAUGGAAGGUAGGAUGGAUUAGGUUUUGAUAACAUUAGAUGCGUUUUAGUCGUUCUUGAAGCAAAUAUGAAGUAUGAAUUAAAGAAAUUUGUGCCUUUUCAUAUUAAUUGGAUUCAAAUAUUCAAUAAUACAAUAUGUUAGUAUAAGGUUAUAUACAGUAUAACCCGACUAUCUCGAACAGCCAAUGGAAACAACAUAAAGUUCUACAAUUAUUGUGGGGGAUAACCAAAUCAGUGUCAAAUUAUACAAAGAAUGAUUAAAUAUUAACCCAUUGAGCUGCAAUGCACCCCAGUGUGCCCAACUUAUUUUUUUACUUGUCUAACGCCAGAUGAUUUUACUUGUCAAUGGGGAAGCUCUGCAACUUAAUGGGUUAAUAAUAAUUAUAAUUUAUUAAAUUAACAUGGCUGAUACAAUUGACCCAAUGAGUGCCAGCACUCUCCCCAUGGCGAGUAAAAUCUGUGGUGUUAGACACAAGGGUGGGUUGACUACAAAAUUUUUGUAGUUCGCUAUAACUACAGCUACUUCAAAAAUAUGUAGUCAGCUACAACUACUGCUACUUUUGAACAAAGGUAGUUCUCUACUGACCACAGCUACUGCUUAAUAAAUGUAGCAAACUAUUUCGUUUUACUUUUUUAGUUUUACUGUUUUUGGAUUAUCUGCUAACUCAGGCUGAAAUGUAACCUAUAACAAAUCGACUUACGAGUAGCAACAGUAAACACAAAGCAACAUUUUUGUAUGCACUACAGUGUUCAAGAGUGCAAAUUGAGUAUUGAUUUUAACAAACCGUGUCUCAAUAUCAUGCUAUUCUAUCAAGUUGCUAACAAUUUUAAAAAGUAGCGAAUAGCAAUUUGCUGUUUGAAAAGUAGUCAACUACUUGGCUACUUUUAGGCAAAAUGUAGUUCGCUAUAACUACAACUACUGUUUUAAAAAAGUAGUCAAAAACUACUUGGCUACUUGAAAAUUGUAUUCACUACAGUAGCGAACUACAACUACUUCGCUACUACCCACCCUUGGUUAGACAGAGUAAAAUAAUAAAGAAGGGUACAUUAGGGCACAAUGUAAAGGGUUAACAAGUAACAUGGGCAGAUGUAAUUGAGCCAAUGAGUGCCAGUGCCUUUCCCUUUAUGAGUAAAUUGUCUGAUUUUAGACAGAGUAAGAUAAUAAAUGGGUGCAUUAGGGCACAUUGUUGCUUAAUGGGUUAACAAUUUUCUAUUUAAUUUCAGGUGAAGAUUUGGAUGAGCUUGUCAAUCUUAUUGAUCAUGACAGUGAUGAUGAUUUCAUUGAUCAACUUUAUGGCACUGAUCAGGAACAAUCUGAUAGCACUCCAGCAACAAAUAGUCAUCAGGAUGUUGUUGAUACAAGUAACGAUGGCGGGGAGACCGAAUCAUUGCAAGAUCGUCAAGUUUCUCCUGAAAAUAUGUCCA
rnacentral:lncRNA from 1 species